AUUGAACGCUGGCGGCAGGCCUAACACAUGCAAGUCGAGCGGAUGAUGGGAGCUUGCUCCUGGAUUCAGCGGCGGACGGGUGAGUAAUGCCUAGGAAUCUGCCUGGUAGUGGGGGACAACGUUUCGAAAGGAACGCUAAUACCGCAUACGUCCUACGGGAGAAAGCAGGGGACCUUCGGGCCUUGCGCUAUCAGAUGAGCCUAGGUCGGAUUAGCUAGUAGGUGAGGUAAAGGCGCACCUAGGCGACGAUCCGUAACUGGUCAGAGAGGAUGAUCAGUCACACUGGAACUGAGACACGGGCCAGACUCCUACGGGAGGCAGCAGUGGGGAAUAUUGGACAAUGGGCGAAAGCCUGAUCCAGCCAUGCCGCGUGUGUGAAGAAGGUCUUCGGAUUGUAAAGCACUUUAAGUUGGGAGGAAGGGCAGUAAGUUAAUACCUUGCUGUUUUGACGUUACCGACAGAAUAAGCACCGGCUAACUUCGUGCCAGCCGCCGCAGUAAUAC
rnacentral:rRNA from 1 species